GACGAACGCUGGCGGCGUGCCUAAUACAUGCAAGUUGAGCGCUGAAGGUUGGUACUUGUCCCCACUGGAUGAGCAGCGAACGGGUGAGUAACGCGUGGGGAAUCUGCCUUUGAGCGGGGGACAACAUUUGGAAACGAAUGCUAAUACCGCAUAAAAACUUUAAACACAAGUUUUAAGUUUGAAAGAUGCAAUUGCAUCACUCAAAGAUGAUCCCGCGUUGUAUUAGCUAGUUGGUGAGGUAAAGGCUCACCAAGGCGAUGAUACAUAGCCGACCUGAGAGGGGGAUCGGCCGCAUUGGGACGGAGUAACGGCCCAAACUCCUACGGGAGGCAGCAGUAGGGAAUCUUCGGCAAUGGACGAAAGUCUGACCGAGCAACGCCGCGUGAGUGAAGAAGGGUUUCGGAUCGUAAAACUCUGUUGGUAGAGAAGAACGUUGGUGAGAGUGGAAAGCUCAUCAAGUGACGGUAACUACCCAGAAAGGGACGGCUAACUACGUG
rnacentral:rRNA from 1 species